rnacentral:rRNA from 1 species
GACGAACGCUGGCGGCGUGCUUAACACAUGCAAGUCGAACGGAAAGGCCCUUCGGGGUACUCGAGUGGCGAACGGGUGAGUAACACGUGGGUGAUCUGCCCUGCACUUUGGGAUAAGCCUGGGAAACUGGGUCUAAUACCGGAUAGGACCACGGCAUUCAUGUGCUGUGGUGGAAAGCUUUUGCGGUGUGGGAUGGGCCCGCGGCCUAUCAGCUUGUUGGUGGGGUAAUGGCCUACCAAGGCGACGACGGGUAGCCGGCCUGAGAGGGUGACCGGCCACACUGGGACUGAGAUACGGCCCAGACUCCGACGGGAGGCAGCAGUGGGGAAUAUUGCACAAUGGGCGCAAGCCUGAUGCAGCGACGCCGCGUGAGGGAUGACGGCCUUCGGGUUGUAAACCUCUUUCGCCAGGGACGAGGCGCAAGUGACGGUACCUGGAGAAGAAGGACCGGCCAACUACGUGCCAGCCGCCGCCGUAACAC